rnacentral:rRNA from 1 species
CGUGUAGGUGGUUAGGAAAGUUGGAUGUGAAAGCCCUGGGCUCAACCCAGGAAGUGCAUCCAAAACUGCUUAGCUAGAGGGCGAGAGAGGGAGGUGGAAUCCCUAGUGUAGAGGUGAAAUUCGUAGAUAUUAGGAGGAAUACCGGUGGCGAAGGCGGCCUCCUGGAUCGAUUCUGACACUGAGACGCGAAAGCGUGGGGAGCAAACA